AGAAAUUUAGGUUAACUUAAACCGAGAGCCUUCAAAGCUCUAAAUAUGGACCAACCAUAAUUCCUG
rnacentral:tRNA from 1 species